GACAGAGGGUGCAAACGUUGUUCGGAAUUACUGGGCGUAAAGCGCACGUAGGCGGAUAUUUAAGUCAGGGGUGAAAUCCCAGAGCUCAACUCUGGAACUGCCUUUGAUACUGGGUAUCUUGAGUAUGGAAGAGGUGAGUGGAAUUCCGAGUGUAGAGGUGAAAUUCGUAGAUAUUCGGAGGAACACCAGUGGCGAAGGCGGCUCACUGGUCCAUUACUGACGCUGAGGUGCGAAAGCGUGGGGAGCAAACAGG
rnacentral:rRNA from 1 species